ACUGAUGAUGCCUACUUCCCUCCGUAUAAAUGCAACAACCGAAACACAUUUUCAUGCAAAAUAAGACGACAGAAUUGCGCUCUCUGUAUCUCUCUCGCCUCAAGUUCUCUCCUCUUCUCUGGCUCAGUGUGUCCUGAGGCCUAUUCGUUUCUCGGGGAAAUGGAAAAACAGUGCGUCAACGAUAUUGAAGCCCCGAAGAUGUCGGUCCUCAAUUGUAUUGAUCUCUCCAAUCCUGACAUUAACCAAUCCGUUUCAUUGCUCAAACAGGCGUGCUUGGAUUCGGGAUUUUUCUACGUUGUAAACCACGGGAUGAGCGAGGAAUUCAUGGACAAGGUUUUCGCACAGAGCAGAAGAUUGUUCUGUCUGCCAUUGAACGAGAAAAUGAAGCUUUUAAGGAACGAGAAACAUAGAGGCUACACCCCUGUUCUUGACGAGAUUUUGGACUCUGAAAACCAAGCUCACGUAGGAGAUUACAAGGAGGGAUAUUACAUAGGAGUGGAAGUCCCUGAAGACGACCCAGAAGCGGAAAAACCAUUUUAUGGGCAAAAUGUUUGGCCUGCACCAGGACUAUUGCCUGGAUGGAGGGAGACAAUGGAGAAGUUUCAUCAAGAAGCUUUGGAGAUCGCAAUAGCAGUUGCUAGGAUAAUUGCUCUUGCACUUGACCUGGAAUCUGAGUUCUUUGACAAGCCAGAUAUGCUUGGCAAGUCUAUUGCAACCUUGCGCUUACUACACUAUGAAGGUCAAAUGUCUGAUCCCUCAAAGGGAAUAUAUGGAGCUGGAGCCCAUUCUGACUUUGGUUUGAUUACUCUCUUAGCAACAGAUGAUGUCUUAGGUCUCCAAAUAUGCAAGGAUAAGGAUGCUAAACCUCAGAUAUGGGAAUAUGUACCACCACUAAAAGGAGCAUUUGUAGUAAAUCUUGGUGACAUGCUGGAGCGUUGGAGCAACUGUGUUUUCAAGUCGACGUUGCACAGAGUUCUUGUGAAUGAUCAAGAGAGAUAUUCUAUUGCAUAUUUUGUGGAACCUUGUCAUGAUUGUCUUGUCGAGUGCUUGCCAACCUGCAAAUCAGAAAAUAACCCUCCAAACGAAUGGGCAAUGGGCUGUGGGUUUGUCUGAGGAUUUAAAAGAAAGGAACAAGGAAAUAAACCUGGGUAAACAAAAACCUCUGAAUCGCCAAUCUCAGGGUUUCCUCCAAUCUUAUGUCAGACUUACCUUAGCCAACGCUAUAAGGAUACUCAUGCUGAUCUGAGUAGAUACAACAAAACUGAAGCGUAAUUAUUCCACCAGAAUAUGCUUUGGGAGAUCUACAAACCUGAACAGCCAGCAAAUAAUUCUACUGAAACAAGUUAAAAGCAUAUAGCCAGACCAGUAGAGGUUCUUUCUAUACAAGUUUUGCAUAUUUAUACGGAUAAGGGUUGAUCAUCAUCCAGAGAUCAUACAACCUUUUCUACAUGUUUAUAUUUUUCUAAGCAGCUCGAAUGGUGUAGCAAGCUUUGUAUGAUGGUGUUCCUCUGCCAUAAAUGAGGGUAAAUAAAUAAAUUCGGGGUACAAUCCUCUAUAGAAAAUGGUGUGUUGAGCUUUCAUCAGUCCUCUGAGAUGUUUUUCCUUCGGUUAAAAUCAUGGGGUGGGUUGGCUAAGCAGAGCACCAGUUGAUAAGAUCUUGAGUGAGCCAGUCGGAUGUAUAUGGCAAGGCCAUUUUAGGGUUCAGUGGGCCAUUUACUAGAGAUAUGGAUUGAUAAAAAAUUGAUGUAUAUAGUUAAUUUUUAAGAAAUAUGAGACGAAAGAGGUGUAUGACUCCUUUAUUUCUUC